UAAUUAAACAAUGAAUAAAGCAAUAUAAUAGUCUCUUGAAAGUCACAUAGAUUUGAUAUUUCCUCUUCUUAUUUUUAGUGUACACAAAUAUGUAGAGGAGGAAUAAAAUCAAGAUUUGUAAUAUGUCAGCUUUCUGAUGGCCAGCUGUCACCAGAGCACAACUGUGAAAUCCUAAACAAACCACCUAGUGUGAUACAAUUUCAUAGCCUGCUUGCCUUGAUGAUGUAUCACGGCAUUGGGGACCAUGGAAAUUGGUCAAAUACAGGAAUCCCGCUGCCCAUGCCCCACCCCAGGGCUGUCAGAGAGCUGUCUGCUGUCCCACAUGUGUCUGUUGGGACAGAAGGAGAACUGCUGGGAAGGAGGGUUCCUGGCUGCGUGACAUCCGAAGGCGGUGGCAGCUUUGAGAUCAUGGACCCUGUCUUCCUGCACUUCCUCUGGGAACAGUGGAGUGGACAGCUGCUGAGAACACAGUGUGGGUGUCACCCAGCGUCUGGCUGAGGGCUUCAGCAGGGCAGGCUGGGAGGGACUGGUACCCUGCCUACACAGUCCUUUCCCUUGGUAUUGAAGCCAGAAUAACCCAGCUCAUGUGCUAAUAAAAUCUGUUGUUAUUUA